UGCGCAGGCGGCCCGAUAAGUCAGGGGUGAAAUAUGACGGCUCAACCGUCAAACUGCCCCUGAAACUGUCAGGCUUGAGUUCGAGAGAGGUAGGUGGAAUUCCAGGUGUAGCGGUGAAAUGACGUAAAUAUCUGGAGGAACACCGGUGGCGAAGGCGGCCUACUGGCUCGAUACUGACGCUCAGGCACGAAAAGCAGUGGGGAGCGAACG
rnacentral:rRNA from 1 species